CCUACGGGAGGCAGCAGUGGGGAAUUUUGGACAAUGGGGGCAACCCUGAUCCAGCAAUGCCGCGUGUGUGAAGAAGGCCUUCGGGUUGUAAAGCACUUUUGGCGGGAGCGAAAGGGCCUGGGCUAAUACCCCGGGUUGAUGACGGUACCCGCAGAAUAAGCACCGGCUAACUACGUGCCAGCAGCCGCGGUAAUACGUAGGGUGCGAGCGUUAAUCGGAAUUACUGGGCGUAAAGCGAGCGCAGGCGGUUGUGUAAGACAGAUGUGAAAUCCCCGGGCUCAACCUGGGAACUGCAUUUGUGACUGCACGGCUAGAGUGCGUCAGAGGGGGGUGGAACUCCACGUGUAGCAGUGAAAUGCGUAGAGAUGUGGAAGAACACCGAUGGCGAAGGCAGCCCCCUGGGAUGACACUGACGCUCAUGCUCGAAAGCGUGGGGAGCAAACAGGAUUAGAUACCCUAGUAGUC
rnacentral:rRNA from 1 species